GGCUUGCCUUACACAUGCAAGUCGCACUGGGCAGUUUCGGCUGUCAGUGGCGGACGGGUGAGUAACGCAGUAGUGUAUCUAUCCUUGUGGUGGGUGUGAUAACCGUGGAGAAACUACGUGCUAAAUACCGCAUGACACCUGUGAGGUCAAAGUGCGCGAGAUCGCCUGUGUGUGAGUGAGCCUGCAGGUCCGAUUAGCUAAGAUAUUGUGUUGUGUGUGUAAAGUGCCUACCAAGGCGAACAGAAUCUGAGUGUGCAUUGUGUCUUGAGAGUGAAUUGAUCAUGCACGAACAUUGGGGACUUGAAGGACACGUGACCAAGAACUUCCUACUGGUGAAGGCAAUCCAAGUUGGGUGAAUAUUUGGAGAAAUUUGUGUGACGAAAGAGAACGUUGAUAUCAGAGGAAAA
rnacentral:rRNA from 1 species